GGAUUCCAAGGAUGGAGCUGCUAAUUCAGCAACUAAGAUAGAAAAGACUAACACAAGGAAAAGGUCCCGCCCCUCACCUAGCAAGAAAAUUGCUAGAAAAUUAUUGCUUGAUAAAGACAAUGAAGAUGAAGAUGAUAACUGUGUUCAUGACACUCCCAAGCCUAGUUCCAGCACUGAUGCUUAGAAGGAAGACGCAGAUCAGCUCAUUUUGUGUUCUCACAGUUGCAGCCAUACCUAGGGCUACAUCCGCUGAAUUGCUACUACAUGCACUAUAUUCAGCUCUUUUAUAACCUAAUGCGUAGCAUUAAUUAACUCUCUUUUGGAUAUUUUUAUGGCUGCAAACUAUGUUAUUUCCUCUUUAAUUAUUAGCGCUCGCUUUGGUUUGGAUUAGCAUUCUAAUCUACCUACUAAAAUGUUUGGUAGCUACUAAUGCUG